rnacentral:rRNA from 1 species
GAUGAACGCUAGCGGCAGGCUUAACACAUGCAAGUCGAGGGGUAUAGUUCUUCGGAACUAGAGACCGGCGCACGGGUGCGUAACGCGUAUGCAAUCUACCUUUCACAAAGGGAUAGCCCAGAGAAAUUUGGAUUAAUACCUUAUAGUAAUACGACUUGGCAUCAAGAUGUAUUUAAAGAUUUAUCGGUGAAAGAUGAGCAUGCGUCCCAUUAGCUUGUUGGUAAGGUAACGGCUUACCAAGGCAACGAUGGGUAGGGGUCCUGAGAGGGAGAUCCCCCCACACUGGUACUGAGACACGGACCAGACUCCUACGGGAGGCAGCAGUGAGGAAUAUUGGACAAUGGGCGCAAGCCUGAUCCAGCCAUGCCGCGUGCAGGAUGACGGUCC